GGUCAAGUGACUAAGCGUACACGGUGGAUGCCUUGGCAGUCAGAGGCGAUGAAGGACGUGGUAAUCUGCGAUAAGCUUCGGGGAGUCGAUAAACAGACUUUGAUCCGGAGAUUUCCGAAUGGGGAAACCCAACGGCAUAAGCCGUUAUUCCUUACCUGAAUACAUAGGGUCUGGAAGGCGAACCCGGGGAACUGAAACAUCUAAGUACCCGGAGGAAAAGAAAUCAAUUGAGAUUCCCCCAGUAGCGGCGAGCGAACGGGGAUUAGCCCUUAAGCAGUUUUUGGUUUAGUGGAAGGCUCUGGAAAGUGCCGCCAUAGUGGGUGAUAGCCCCGUACACGAAAGGCCAAUUAAUGUGAAAUCGAGUAGGACGGGACACGUGAAAUCCUGUCUGAACUGUCUUCGGACGAGGGGGGACCAUCCUCCAAGGCUAAAUACUCCUGACUGACCGAUAGUGAACCAGUACCGUGAGGGAAAGGCGAAAAGAACCCCGUUGAGGGGAGUGAAAUAGAACCUGAAUCCGUGUACGUACAAGCAGUGGGAGUCGGUGGGCAGUUGACAGUGGACAGUAGACAGUUGAUGUGCAGAAGCACGGUUGACUGAAACGCUGUUGCUGGAUGAUAAAGCGUCGGAAUGGAACAGGGAGCCAGAAACAGGCACUUCCUGAACCGUUCACCGUCUACUGUCAACUGUCCACCGAUGACUGCGUACCUUUUGUAUAAUGGGUCAGCGACUUACUUUCAGUGGCAAGGUUAACCGCAUAGGGGAGCCGUAGGGAAACCGAGUCUUAAUAGGGCGUGUUCUUAGGAACAACAGUCGCUGGGAGUAGACCCGAAACCGGGCGAUCUAUCCAUGGGCAGGUUGAAGGUUGAGUAACAUCAACUGGAGGACCGAACCGACUAUCGUUGAAAAGCUAGCGGAUGACCUGUGGAUAGGAGUGAAAGGCUAAUCAAGCCCGGAGAUAGCUGGUUCUCCUCGAAAGCUAUUUAGGUAGCGCCUCGUGUCUCACCAUCGGGGGUAGAGCACUGUUUGGGCUAGGGGGUCAUCCCGACUUACCAACCCCAUGCAAACUCCGAAUACCGAUGAGUGCAAUCACGGGAGACACACGGCGGGUGCUAACGUCCGUCGUGGAAAGGGAAACAACCCAGACCGUCAGCUAAGGUCCCAAAGUUCUGGUUAAGUGGGAAACGAUGUGAGAAGGCCCAGACAGCCAGGAGGUUGGCUUAGAAGCAGCCA
rnacentral:rRNA from 1 species